GCCAGGCAUGGUGGUGUGCCUGUAGUGCCAGCUACCAAGAAAGCUGAGGCUGGAGGAUCAUUUGAGUCCAGGAGUUCUGGGCUGCAGUGCGCUAUGCCGAUUGGGUGUCCGCACUAAGUUUGGCGUCAAUAUGGUGACCUCCCGGGAGCUGGGAACCACAAGUUGCCUAAGGAGGGGUGAACCAGCCCAGGUUGGAAACAGAGUAGGUUAAGACACCCAGAGGAUGGAGUUGGAGACAAUCAUUCUUAGUGAUCUAUCAGAGAAACAAAGAACUGAAUACCACAUGUUCUCACUCAU
rnacentral:SRP_RNA from 1 species